GCAGCCGCGGUAAUACAGAGGUGGCAAGCGUUGUUCGGAUUUACUGGGCGUAAAGGGUGCGUAGGCGGUUGCGUGUGUCGGAUGUGAAAUCUCACUGUUCAUCGGUGAAACUGCAUUCGAAACUACGUAACUCGAGUACUGGAGAGGAGAGCGGAAUUCUUGGUGUAGCGGUGAAAUGCGUUGAGAUCAAGAAGAACGCCGGUGGCGAAGGCGGCUCUCUGGACAGAAACUGACGCUGAGGCACGAAAGCUAGGGGAGCAAACAGGAUUAGAUACCCUGGUAGUCCUAGCCGUAAACGUUGUGCACUUGGUGUGGGAGGAGUUUACCCCUUCCGUGCCGUAGCUAACGUGUUAAGUGCACCGCCUGGGGAGUACGGCCGCAAGGCUAAAACUCAAAGAAAUUGACGGGGGCCCGCACAAGCGGUGGAGCAUGUGGCUUAAUUCGAUGCAACGCGAAGAACCUUACCUGGGCUUGACAUGGCGAGACUUCGGUCUAAACCGGUGAAAGUCGGUUGAACGCACACAGGUGCUGCAUGGCUGUCGUCAGCUCGUGCCGUGAGGUGUUGGGUUAAGUCCCGCAACGAGCGCAACCCUUGUGGGUAGUUGCCACCCCCGUUCUGCGGGGAGCACUCUACUCAGACUGCCCGUGACAAGCGGGAGGAAGGUGGGGAUGACGUCAAGUCCGUAUGGCCCUUAUGCCCAGGGCUGCACACGUGCUACAAUGGUCGGUACAGAAAGAUGCAAGACCGCGAGGUGGAGCAAAUCUCCAAAACCGGCCCCAGUUCGGAUUGCAGUCUGCAACUCGACUGCAUGAAGCCGGAAUCGCUAGUAACGGCGUAUCAGCUACGACGCCGUGAAUACGUCCCGGGCCUU
rnacentral:rRNA from 1 species